GACGAACGCUGGCGGCGUGCCUAAUACAUGCAAGUAGAACGCAGUUGCGAACGGGUGAGUAACGCGUAGGUAACUGCCUCAUAGCGGGGGAUAACUAUUGGAAACGAUAGCUAAUACCGCAUACUGUGAGAUGGACCUGCGUUGUAUUAGCUAGUUGGUGAGGUAAAGGCUCACAAAGGCGACGAUCCGUAGCUGGUUUGAGAGGACGACCAGCCACACUGGGACUGAGACACGGCCCAGACUCCUACGGGAGGCAGCAGUGGGGAAUUUUGGACAAUGGGGGAAACCCUGAUCCAGCCAUCCCGCGUGUGCGAUGAAGGCCUUCGGGUUGUAAAGUACUUUCAGCGGGGAGGCGUUACUCGCAGAAGAAGCACCGGCUAACUCCGUGCCAGCAGCCGCGGUAAUAC
rnacentral:rRNA from 1 species